CCAUCAAUGGUUUGGCCUCCUGCAAUCUUUCAUCUGAUGGCCACUGUGCACGGAGGAUCCUCAUCAACCAAAAACUCAUACUGAAUAUUGUAAUCAAUACGAUCUGCAUUAGAGCAUGAGUCUUUGGUGCUCAUAGGAUGUGUGGUAGAUCUGUACGGGCGUUCUCCUAUUGUGACUGUUGUUGUUGUUGUUGUUGUUGUUGUUUGAUCAUCG
rnacentral:lncRNA from 1 species